rnacentral:lncRNA from 1 species
GUAAUGCGCGCCAACUCAAGACUUAAUGGGGUUGUAGCAAAGUGUUUUCUUAGAAAAAUGACUGAGGUAGAAGGAUCUUGAAUUCCAGGCCAGCCUGGGCUAUAUAAAGAGUGCAGUCUAAGGGGGAUACCGCCGGAGAAACGACUUGGUCGGCCAAGUGCUUGCCGUGGAAGCAUGAGGGCCCGAGGUUGAAUUUGGAUUCCCAGGGCCGGAUGUAGUCCCAGUGCUGGAGGAGGCUUGCUGGACGGCCUGUUCAGCCAGUUGGUUCAGUAAGAGACCGUUUCAAGAAAUAAAGUGGCUUGGUGUGGUGGCACACUCCUUUAAUCCCAGCACUCAGGAGGCAGAGGCAGGCGGGUCCCUGGGGGUUCGAGGCCAGUUCGGCCACAUAGUGAGUUCCGGGACAGCCAGAGUUCCAUAGUAGACUCUAUCUCAAAACAAGCAAGCAAGCAAGCAAGGAGGAAAAGCAAUUGAGGAAGCCACCCAAUGUCAACCUCCAGCUACAUAAACAUGUACUUGGGGAAAAUUUACCUCCAUGACUGUGUCUUUGUGCAGUUGCCACCUCCGGAGGAUCCCCCCACCCCCCACCCCAAAUUGAACACACGUACAAAAAUAGACUUCCCGGGUGUCAAACGCGGCGCCUCAUGCCUUGGGAGGCGGUGACAGGCAGAUCUUUGUGAGUUCCAGGCUAAUUUAGUCUACAUAGUGCAUUCCAGUCAAGUAGGGGUUACAUAGUGAGACCUUGUCUUAAAAGGGUGGGGCUGGUGGUGGUUUGGAGAGAUUCCUUAAGUGAUUAAGCUUCCAGAGGACCCAAAUGAAAUUCCCAGCACCCACUGCUUGUAACUCCAGCUCCAGGGGAUUUGAUGAUCUCUUCUGGCCUCCACAGAGAUAAACAAGAUUGAGCCUUCGGGGUACAAUUCUACAGAGGUACCCCAACAUAAAGACACUUGUGUGUUCUCAACAGGUAAUACAAAAAAGUGAACUGAAGAACCAGCCUGCCUCCAUUUUAGGAUUGGAAGCCAUCUUACAGUAAAGACAAACUAGGUUCAUUCCUGUUUGUGGUUAAACCUCUGUUUCUCAAGGAUUGGGCUAUCCCACCUCUAACCUUAACUACAAAUGGUUCUGAACUGCCUGUUCCAGGAAUGGCGAACAUGCCUUUGUGUCGAAAAGUUGUUUAUAACCAACUUGCAUCCCUACCUUUGUUUCAAAAGAUUAUAUGACCACUUAUGACUACCUUGCUAUGUCCACCUUGCAGCCAUGUCUUUACUUUGGAGGAACUAACUUGCUAUGCUUAUGUUCUGCUCCUGUAACUCCACCUAUUUUUGCCCACCAAUCCUCCAUUUGAAGACCCCCUACCCCUGAGCUAUAAAAGCCGAGUCUUCCUCACAUCCAUGGCUGUCCUCUUGAACCCUGCCUUAGGGAGAGACAGCCUGUG